rnacentral:lncRNA from 15 species
GCUAUAACACAAUAUACAGGUCUGUGAAUGGGGGGACACAUACAACUUUGUUUUUAAUGGUUAACCGAUUUAAGACUUCUAAUCUAUUUGUUGUGGUUUUGUGCCUCUUUGUGGUAGAUUUCUCUCUUUCUUGUGGAUUUCUGUCUCUUUGUUGUGGUUUUGUGUCUCUUUAUGGUGGAUUUCUGUCUCUUUGUGGUGGAUUUCUGUCUCUUUGUUGUGGUUUUGUGUCUCUUUAUGGUGGAUUUCUGUCUCUUUGUGGUGGAUUUCUGUCUCUUAUUUGGUGGUUUUGUGUGGCUUUGUUAUGGUUAAUGGCUCCAUGUGAAGUUUAACCUGGGUGACCUGCAUAUGUGACCGUGCCCUGUAGAGCGAAUGCAGCUGGUUGUAAAAAGGUGUGUUUGAUGUUGUCAGAGGGCAGGACAAACAGAGAGAGCAGAGUGGGUGUGUGGAGGCAGAGCAACAUAUUAUGAACCAGAUCUGAUAGUUUGAUCAGUGUGACUGUGAAGACACCAUGGACAGACUACAGGUGAGUAUUGCAUGUCUGCUGCUGAAAAUGACCGUUGACCUCAUCACUGCACAACCCCCGCCGAUGUGUCAAAUAUGUCAACAAGGUUUCUUUGUGAAGAAGAACUGUUCUACAAGUACAAGUUCUCCAAGGAAGUUUUAUGGAGUCCAGUGUGAACUGUGCACCAACUGUACAGCGACUGAUCGGGACACCCUGGUUCAGUGUUCCACAUUCGCAAACUCACUGUGUGGAAACAAAACCACUCCUCCUGCCCUCACUUCCACACCGAUGCCCACUGAAGCUCCAGUUUCUACUCCUGAUGUGUGGAUCAUUCUCACUGUGAUAAGUCUUUCUUUGUUCCUGAUUCUGAUGUUCAGUUUGCUUCUCACCCUGUUGUCCUGCCGAAACCGCCAACGUAAACUUAAAGGUAACUCCUUCCACCUGACAACAAACCCUGCCCAUCUGACAACAAACCCCUCCCACCUGACACACCUUGUUGUCUCCUCCUCAGGUCUGGAUCCCCUGUAACUGAAGUGGAUCUAAUCCAACAUUGAUGCUGUUGGGAAAACUGCAGCCCAAGGGAGCUAUCAGACCUGAUUCAGCUCCAAAGAAAACCACCAAGUGUGGCAGCGGGACUCUGUCUGUCUAGUGCCGUCCUGGUGCUGACCAGUCCUGGUGUGUGUAUAGUCUACAUGUUGUCCAGUUUGAGUCCAGGAUCAGUCUAGUCCAGUAACAGACUAGUUUAAGUUCAUUCAAGAUAUAGCACAGGUUCAGCCUAGGCAAAGGACAGGCUCAGUCCAGGGUUCAGUCCAGGGUUCAGUCCAGGUGUAGACAAGGUUCAGUACAGGUUUGGUCUAGGUGUAGACCAGGUUCAGUACAGUUGUAGACCAGGUUCACCCCAGGUUCAGUUCAGGUGUAGUCUAGGUGUAGACCAGGUUCAGUUCAGGUUCAGUUCAGGUGUAGAGCAGGUGUAGUCUAGGUGUAGACCAGGUUCAGUUCAGGUUUAGUUCAGGUGUAGAGCAGGUGUAGUCUAGGUGUAGUCCAGGUUCAGUUCAGGUUCAGUUCAGGUGUAGACCAGGUGUAGACCAGGUUCAGUUCAAGUUUGGUCCAGGUGUAGACCAGGUUCAGUACAGUUGUAGACCAGGUUCACCCAGGGUUCAGUUCAGGUGUAGUCUAGGUGUAGACCAGGUUCAGUUCAGGUUCAGUUCAGGUGUAGAGCAGGUGUAGUCUAGGUGUAGUCCAGGUUCAGUUCAGGUUCAGUUCAGGUGUAGACCAGGUGUAGUCCAGGUUCAGUUCAGGUGUAGUUCAGGUGUAGUCCAGGUUCAGUUCAGGUGUAGUCCAGGUUCAGUUCAGGUUCAGUUCAGGUGUAGACCAGGUGUAGACCAGGUUCAGUCCAUGUGUAGACCAGGUGUAGUCCAGGUUCAGUUCAGGUGUAGUCCAGGUGUAGUUGAAGGUAGUCUGUUCAUAAUCUCACACUAACGUACUGUUUAUAGUAAAUAUGUUGAUAUUAUUAUAUAAACACACGUGAGUGCAGUUUACUGAACUUAAUUCAGACCCGAACCCAAACUAGCAAACCAGUCAGUGGCCUCCAGUAGCUGCUAAUACUGCCCACUCCAUCUGUGAUAUUAAUAUUUACCUUCAUUCUUUAUUCUUCUGUUCAUCGGACCACAAACAUUAGUCUUUACUUCACUUCUGCCUUUAAGGAGUGCGAGAGGAACCUCCAGGAGGAGGAGUUUCCAUCAGCCUUAAAACAGGAGGUCACACUGUGUGUCCUUCAUGUCUGACCAUCUGUAGUCUGUCUGUAGUUUUAAACCAUGUUUGGACAUUCAAUUCAAUUUUUUCUAACUUUUCAAAUAGAGCAGAACUCCUUAUAACAUUAUUUACAGAGACCCAAUAAUUACCACCAUGAGCAAGACCUUGGCGAUAGCGGCAAGGAAAAACUUCAUUUUAAGAGGCAGAAACCUCGGACAGACCCGGCUCUAGGUGGGUGGUCAUUUGCCUCGACCAAUUGGGGUGAAAGAGAGGCAUAAAUAAACUUUAUUGUUAUUAUCAAGCACACAGCAUCUGUUUGUUAGCAGCUUGAACCUUCAUUGCACAGCAAGUUAAAUAUUAAAAUCAGUGCCUAAUCUGGCCCAAAAUAGGUGACACUACUCUAAUUCAGCACAACCCUGCCCCAAACCCCAAACCCCGAAUCCAACUAGGCACGGCUUUGUGAUGGGUUCUGUCUCCGCUGCGGUUACUGGAGAUGAUUGAGCCUGUUUAAGACAAUGUUCUGGAUUCAGUGUAAUUCAGCACAACCCCGGACCAGAACACACUAAUUCUCUUUCAGCUGUUUACUCACAGUUAAACUAGAUUAUCCCACGAGCCAAUCAGAGGCCGGGUGGGUCGGACACAAAGCUACCCAGCAUGGAUUGUGAUCACACAUGCAGUACUCAGUACAUGCAGUAGGCAGUACAUGCAGUACGUUAGUAUGAGAUUUUCAACACACUCUAGAUUAUUGGUCCAUAUUGUGAUGCGUUCCCCUGUCAGCCAAUCAGAUUUGAGCUCAUCUGUGCGUAACAGAACAACAUGCUAUGACAUCACUUCCUGUGGAGUGGCAGAAGGUUGGUUUCUGAUGUUGUAAUCGAUCAGUUGAUGAUCAAUAAAUGGCAGAGAUUCAGGACUCUUGAUCAAUGACAUUCAGACCAGGUACUCCGGUCUGACUCCGGAUGCUGGAUCAGAGCUGACUCUGAGUCCAGCACCCGAUCCCAGAGGAACCAGAAUCUGCAAGGUCAGACCAGCAGGGAAACCUGAUCCUGCACCGCUGUUACAAAAUAAGUCUAUUUUAUUUUGAAAAUAUUUGGACUCGACCUGGUUUAGAUCAUUUAAUUCAAAUGACUUAAUUAUAAAAUAAUGAAUAGUGAUAAGUGAUAAUUAAUAUUUCAUCAAUAAUGAAUCCUAAUGAACGAAUCAGUAACAGUCUGACAGCAGCCCUCUGAAUUCUGCAUUUCCCAUGAUGCACCUGCCUCCUUUAGAGUCACAUCAGACAAGCCUUCAUCAGUCCGUCUUCUGGCACUCUGGGUCUCUGCAUGUUGUUCUGUUAUUGAUCACUUAUUGUUUUAUUGUUAUUAAUGUUUUAUUAUUGAAUGUUUGUGAUGAAUUCUUCUCUGCUGGAAUAAAAUGACUGUAAACAAGACAACUCUUGUUGUUGUUCAUGGUUUAUUUUAAAUAUUCUUUCCUUUACAGUUAUAAUAAUAAUCAUAAUAGUUCACAGUUUGAGGUUCAGUUUCAUCCUGAAUCAAUAAUAAAGUUUGAUAACUUUAUUAAUUGUUGUGUAAAACAGCGAAAUGUUGUUCAAUUCAGUUUUAUUGUUAUAGUUUCAAUUCAUGACAGAAGUUGUCUCAGGACACCUACUCCUUAUAAACACAUUUGUCUACACUGUGUAUUCAGGGUACAGUAGCUCCCCCUAGAGGACUUAGGGCGGUACUGCACUUCUCUCACAGACACAACAUGUUUCUUUACAGCUCGUUAGGGACUAUUGAUCCAGAGGACACAGACGUUGUUCUCUACAUAAGAGACUGACAGCAAAUAGACUCAGAUUAUGCAUUCCUACUACUACUAGUACUACUACUACUAAUACUACUACUAAUAAUAAUGAUAAUAAUAACUUCAUUUGUAUAGCACUUAAAAAAAAGUUAUUUAAUACACACAAACAGCAGACAUGAAGAUUGAUAUAUGAAUAAACAACCAUAAACACAACCAUACAUACUAUUAAAAAAAACUUAAAAAAUAUAAAACAUGGGGUGCCGGUUAGCUCAGUGGGUAGAGCUGGCAACCCAUGUACCGAGGCUGAGUCCUUGCUGCAGCAGCCCAGGGUUCAAAUCCGACCUGCAGCCCUUUGCUGCGUAUCAUCCUCUCUCUCUGCCCCCCUUUCCUGUCUGUCUUCAGCUGUCCUAUCAAAUAAAGGCAAUAAAAGCCAAUAUAUAUAUAUAUAUAUAUAUAUAUAUAUAUAAAACAUAGGAGUGUGUUCUAAAAUAAAAUAAACGAUUAAAACAAAAUGUUAAAUAAAAUAAAUCACAAGGAUACUAGUUAUGAUGAAGUAUGAAAUAUUAUGUAAAUUCAUGUAAUAGCCUGAUUAUAAACCCUCAUUUUAAGGAGGAUUUCAAAGAUUACAAAGACUCUCUAAAAGACAAACUGUCUGCAUCAAGAGCGACUGUGUGCACAGAGGAAAGCAAUAUACUCUUUAUCCAUGUAAACAUACAUAACAUAUAUAUCAAUAUAAAUCAUAUAAUAUGAUAUAUUUUAUAUAUUAUACAGUGUGAUAUAUAGCAUAUAAUAUAUAGAAACAAACAGACUGGCAGUAACAUUGUUUUUAUAUUGUUGAUAUUGUUAAUCUAAUUAGGUUAUUAAAGGGUUAAACUCUGCUUGUGAUAACACUCAACAUAUCAGGUGUCACCAUGGCAGCGCACCGGAAGCAACAGAAACUGAGCACACAGUGUUACCAUGGUGAUUGGACGAACCUGUAGGUACAUGACUUACAUACUGUAAUAUAGUGCAGUGACACCUUUAUUGUUUUAUUAUAUCACUCUUAUUCUGCUGUGGACACGCCCACCUGUGACGUCACAGAGCACACCUGUCCGCUACAGCAGUUUAAUCAUUCACUGAUAACACUGUUACUGUUACUGGUUGGCGGUUUACAGUCAUCUUUCUACCUAUCCAACGUGGUCCAAGGAAGGAACAGAACCAGAGACAGUGUCAUGGGGGGCCAAGGCUCAUUGAUGCAGGUGGGGAGUGAAGGCUGGCCCGUGUGGUCCGAUCAAACAGACGAGCUACUGUAGCUCAAACUGCUGAAACAGUUAAUGCUGGUUCUGAUAGAAAGGGGUCAGAACACACAGUGCAGAGCAGUCUGCUGGUCUGGGACCAGUCAGGGAGUCCAGUGCUCACAGUGUUACUGCUGAUCAAUAUAUCAGUCUAUAUACUGUUAGUGAUCAAUAUAUCAGUGUAUAUCAACACACAGUAUCUGAUCAAUAUAUCAGUCUAUAUCAAUAUACAGUAUCAGUCUAUAUACUGAUAGUAAUAUAAUGUUACUGCUGAUCAAUAUAUCAGUUUAUAUACUGUUAGUGAUCACUAUUCAAUUCAAUUCAAUUCAAUUCAAUUUUAUUUGUAUAGCGCCAAUUCAUAACAGAAGUUAUCUCAGGACACUUUUCAAAUAGAGCAGGUCUAGACCGAACUCUUUAAAACAUUAUUUACAGAGACCCAACAGUACCACCAUGAGCAAGACCUUGGAGACAAGGGCAAGGAAACACUGCCUGUUAAAAGGCAGAAACCUAGGACAGAUCCUCCGGCUCUAGGUGGGGUGAGAGAGAGAGAGAGAGAGAGAGAGA